rnacentral:rRNA from 1 species
UACAGAGGGUGUGAGCGUUGUUCGGAAUUAUUGGGCGUAAAGGGCGCGUAGGCGGUGCGGUAAGUCACCUGUGAAAUCUCCUGGCUCAACUGGGAGCUUGCAGGCGAAACUGCCGUGCUGGAGUGUGGGAGAGGUGCGUGGAAUUCCUGGUGUAGCGGUGAAAUGCGUAGAUAUCAGGAGGAACACCUGUGGCGAAAGCGGCGCACUGGACCACAACUGACGCUGAGGCGCGAAAGCUAGGGGAGCAAACAGG